rnacentral:rRNA from 1 species
UACGGAGGGUGCGAGCGUUGUCCGGAAUCAUUGGGCGUAAAGGGCGCGUAGGUGGCCCGGUCAGUUCGUGGUGAAAGCGCGGGGCUCAACCCUGCGUCGGCCAUGAAUACUGCCGCGGCUGGAGCACUGUAGAGGCAGGCGGAGUUCCGGGUGUAGCGGUGGAAUGCGUAGAGAUCGGGAAGAAUACCAGUGGCGAAGGCGUUCUGCUGGGCCGUUGCUGACACUGAGGCGCGACAGCGUGGGGAGCAAACAGG